UGGGGAAUAUUGCGCAAUGGGCGAAAGCCUGACGCAGCGACGCCGCGUGGGGGAUGAAGCUUCUCGGAGUGUAAACCCCUUUCGACCCGGACGAAUGACCCGCAAGGGUUUGACGGUACGGGUAUAAGAAGCCCCGGCUAACUACGUGCCAGCAGCCGCGGUAAUACGUAGGGGGCCAGCGUUGCUCGGAAUUACUGGGCGUAAAGGGUUCGUAGGUGGUGCGGCAAGUUGGAAGUGAAAUCUCUGGGCUUAACCCAGAGGCUGCUUUCAAAACUGCCGCGCUCGAGUGCGAGAGAGGCCAGUGGAAUUGCAGGUGUAGCGGUGAAAUGCGUAGAUAUCUGCAGGAACACCCGUGGCGAAGGCGGCUGGCUGGAUCGCAACUGACACUGAGGAACGAAAGCUAGGGGAGCAAACAGGAUUAGAUACCCUGGUAGUCCUAGCCCUAAACCAUCAGAACUUGGGGUGGCCCGCGUAGGCGGGUCGUCCCGUAGCUAACGCGUUAUGUUCUGCGCCUGGGGAGUACGGUCGCAAGACUG
rnacentral:rRNA from 1 species